UACGUAGGGGGCUAGCGUUGUCCGGAAUCAUUGGGCGUAAAGAGCGCGCAGGCGGCUUGGCAAGUCGGGUGUGAAAUCCCGGGGCUCAACCCCGUGACUGCAUCCGAUACUGUCAGGCUAGAGGUAGGUAGGGGAGAUCGGAAUUCCUGGUGUAGCGGUGAAAUGCGCAGAUAUCAGGAGGAACACCGGUGGCGAAGGCGGAUCUCUGGGCCUUACCUGACGCUCAGGCGCGAAAGCUAGGGGAGCGAACAGG
rnacentral:rRNA from 1 species